UACGUAGGUGGCAAGCGUUAUCCGGAUUUAUUGGGCGUAAAGAGAACGCAGGCGGUCUUUUAAGUCUGAUGUGAAAGCCUUCGGCUUAACCGGAGUAGUGCAUUGGAAACUGGGAGACUCGAGUGCAGAAGAGGAGAGUGGAACUCCAUGUGUAGCGGUGAAAUGCGUAGAUAUAUGGAAGAACACCAGUGGCGAAAGCGGCUCUCUGGUCUGUAACUGACGCUGAGGUUCGAAAGCGUGGGUAGCAAACAGG
rnacentral:rRNA from 1 species